rnacentral:RNase_P_RNA from 2 species
CCAGACAAUUGAUUAGUCGCUUUUGUUUAAUUUGAUUUAAACUUAAGAGGAAAGUCCGGGCUCUAUAAGAACGCGGUGCCAGAUAACAUCUGGCGAGGGUAACCUCAGGGAUAGUGCCACAGAAAAUAAACCGCCUAAUCGAGGUAAGGGUGAAAAGGUGUGGUAAGAGCACACCGGUUUUUUGGUAACAAAAAACGCAUGGAAAACCCCACCGGGAGCAAGACCAAAUAGAGAUGGCAUUGUUUUAUCUUUGAUAAAACUAAAAAUAGUUCUUGAUUAGCCAUCAGGGUUGGUUGCUAGAGUUAAAAGGUGACUUUUAAAAUAGAUAAAUGACUAAUUUAAAUGACAGAACCCGGCUUAUAGAUUGUCUGGCUAU